GACGAACGCUGGCGGCGUGCUUAACACAUGCAAGUCGAACGGAAAGGCCCUGCUUUUGUGGGGUGCUCGAGUGGCGAACGGGUGAGUAACACGUGAGUAACCUGCCCUUGACUUUGGGAUAACUUCAGGAAACUGGGGCUAAUACCGGAUAGGAGCUCCUGCUGCAUGGUGGGGGUUGGAAAGUUUCGGCGGUUGGGGAUGGACUCGCGGCUUAUCAGCUUGUUGGUGGGGUAGUGGCUUACCAAGGCUUUGACGGGUAGCCGGCCUGAGAGGGUGACCGGGCACAUUGGGACUGAGAUACGGCGCAGACGCCUACGGGAGGCAGCAGUGGGGAAUAUUGCACAAUGGGCGGAAGCCUGAUGCAGCAACGCCGCGUGCGGGAUGACGGCCUUCGGGUUGUAAACCGCUUUCGCCUGUGACGAAGCGUGGGUGACGGUAAUGGGUAAAGAAGCACCGGCUAACUACGUG
rnacentral:rRNA from 1 species